rnacentral:rRNA from 1 species
UACGGAGGGAGCUAGCGUUGUUCGGAAUUACUGGGCGUAAAGCGCACGUAGGCGGCUUUUUAAGUCAGGGGUGAAAUCCCGGGGCUCAACCCCGGAACUGCCCUUGAAACUGGAGAGCUAGAAUCUUGGAGAGGCGAGUGGAAUUCCGAGUGCAGAGGUGAAAUUCGUAGAUAUUCGGAAGAACACCAGUGGCGAAGGCGACUCGCUGGACAAGUAUUGACGCUGAGGUGCGAAAGCGUGGGGAGCAAACAGG